rnacentral:misc_RNA from 1 species
GCAAACUUGGUCAUUUAGAGGAAGUAAAAGUCGUAACAAGGUCUCCGUUGGUGAACCAGCGGAGGGAUCAUUACUGAGUUAUCACAACUCCAAACCCAUGUGAACUAUACCACUUGUUGCCUCGGCGGGGAGACCUACCUACCCGGGACCUACCCGGUAGCUAGAGGGCCCGCCGGUGGACUUCUAAACUCUUUUGCUAUUAUGUCAAAUCUGAGUAGACUAUAUAAAUAAGUCAAAACUUUCAACAACGGAUCUCUUGGUUCUGGCAUCGAUGAAGAACGCAGC